GCUUAGGUCGCGGAGAGAUGGUGUUUUACUCUUCAGUGGUGGUGGAAUUGGUAGACACAAGGGAUUUAAAAUCCCUCGGCGUUCGCGCUGUGCCGGUUCAAGUCCGGCCCGGGGCA
rnacentral:tRNA from 1 species